rnacentral:rRNA from 1 species
GACAGGGGAUGCAAGCGUUAUCCGGAAUCACUGGGCGUAAAGCGUCUGUAGGUGGUGAUGCAAGUCACUGGUGAAAAACUCUGGCUCAAACGGAGGAAAGCCAGUGAAACUGCAUGACUAGAGUGUGGGAGAGGUAGAAUGAAUUCCCUGAGUAGCGGUGAAAUGCGUAGAUACAGGGAAGAACACCGGAGGCUAAAGCGUUCUCCUGGAAUACAACUGACACUGAGUGACGAAAGCUAGGGGAGCGAAUGGG